GGGGGCCUUUGAAGGCUUUAGUUGGCGCAGCUAACGCGAUAAGUAGACCGCCUGGGGGAGUACGGUCGCAAGACUAAAACUCAAAUGAAUUGACGGGGGCCCGCACAAGCGGUGGAGCAUGUGGUUUAAUUCGAUGCAACGCGAAGAACCUUACCUGGCCUUGACAUACUAGAAACUUUCCAGAGAUGGAUUGGUGCCUUCGGGAAUCUAGAUACAGGUGCUGCAUGGCUGUCGUCAGCUCGUGUCGUGAGAUGUUGGGUUAAGUCCCGCAACGAGCGCAACCCUUUUCCUUACUUGCCAGCAUUUCAGAUGGGAACUUUAAGGAUACUGCCAGUGACAAACUGGAAGAAAGCGGGGACUACCUCCAGUCAUCAUGGGCCUUACGGCCAGGGCUACACACGUGCUACAAUGGUCGGUACAAAGGGGUGCUACACAGCGAUGUGAUGCUAAUCUCAAAAAGCCGAUCGUAAUCCGGAUUGGAGUCUGCAACUCCACUCCCUGAAAUCGGAAUCCCUAGUAAUCGCGGAUCAAAAUGCCGCGGUGAAUACGUUCCCGGGCCUUGUACACACCGCCCGUCACACCAUGGGAGUUUGUUGCACCAGAAGUAGGUAGUCUAACCGCAAGGAGGACGCUUACCACGGUGUGGCCGAUGACUGGGGUGGAAGUCGUCAACAACGGUAACCGUAAACAC
rnacentral:rRNA from 1 species